rnacentral:lncRNA from 1 species
ACAAUUAUACAGCAAAGUCUCCUGGGAGGGUUUAUAUGUUAAGCUCUGUCAGUAAUUUCUCCCCUAGCAAGAAUGAGGGAGAUGAAGAGCUCGGGUAUCUGAGGGCUGGUGUGUCUGCAUGCGUGUGUGUUUUGGGGGCCGACUGAAGGAAGAGAAGGCUGGAGAGAGGGAACAUGGGUCUGAGGGCACAUCGCUAAGGGGUCAAGAGGCCUAAAGGGGGAGUCUAAGGCUCUCCAUCGAACUUGGACUUGGUCUACAUUAGACUUUAACCUCCAUGAGGCUUGGACUUUCAGGCUUCCUCCCUCACACCGCGGGCAGGUGAGGCGUCUGCUACAGGCCUGGUCUCGCAGAGGGGGCCCAGCGCCCCCCGCCGCCGCCUUCUCCUGGAGUCUGUGUGACAGAAUGGGACCUGUGGGAAAGCAGCACGUCAGCACCCAGCCCCGCUUGCGCGCCAGCAGCUAAUUAAAGCCAGGAAGGUGAUGGCGAUUUUCAACUCAUUCCCGUUACAAACAGCCGACCUUCCUACCGAGUUCAAGUACCUUCUGCCUGGCCUGGAAGAACAAUAUCUCUCUGUCUCCCUCUUCCACUGGCCCUCACCUGCCUUCCCCUGAACAUGCAUUUUGCCUGACAGGAGGCAGAGGCAGUUGAGAUGGAGUCUUGCUAUAUGGCCCAGCUGGUAAUAAUGCCUAGAUUCUUGAGUCCCUCCCUGGCUCAUCCCUGGGAGCAGCACUGAACCUCAUGUCUGACACCUGUCUGGAAAUGGAGCCUGCACAUUGACCCUAGCCAUGUGUGGUCUUGUUACUAAGUGUUAGCCAGUGAAAUAACAUACAAGAGGAGGCCCAUGUUGAUUCAGAGGAUGAAUGAGAGGUGCUUGCAGCUUGGUCCAGGAGGCCAGCGGGACCAGACAGAAGACCACAGCGACACAUGGGGAUGGCUGUCCCACAGGCAGAAAUGAGCAGCCGGGAGGAAGCCCAUGCAGCCAGCCACCCAGCUCCCUCCACAUCGUGGCCCUAGAAUGGAGUCUUGAAGAAUAAGAAGCCACAGCUUGUCAGGGAAUCAGGCUGGAAAAAUGUUAUGAGACUGAGUAAGACCAGAG